AUACGGAGGGUGCAAGCGUUGUUCGGAACUACUGGGCGUAAAGCGCGCGUAGGCGGUCUGUUAUGUCAGAUGUGAAAGUCCUCGGCUCAACCGGGGAAGUGCAUUUGAAACUGGCAGACUUGAGUACUGGAGGGGGUGGUGGAAUUCCCGGUGUAGAGGUGAAAUUCGUAGAUAUCGGGAGGAAUACCGGUGGCGAAGGCGACCACCUGGCCAGAUACUGACGCUGAGGUGCGAAAGCGUGGGGAGCAAACAGGAUUAGAAACCCCUGUAGUCC
rnacentral:rRNA from 1 species